rnacentral:rRNA from 1 species
UGAAUACCAAGGCGAUCGGGUGAACUGUGGUUAAGGAACUCGGCAAAUUGCCCCCGUAACUUCGGGAGAAGGGGGACCUCUGCUGGCGAUGGGCUUUACGUUCUGAGCUGGUGGGGGUCGCAGUGGCCAGGGGGAAGCGACUGUUUACUAAAAACACAGGUCCGUGCGAAGUCGUAAGACGAUGUAUACGGACUGACGCCUGCCCGGUGCCGGAACGUUAAGGGGACCGCUUAGCCAGCUUCGGUUGGCGAAGGUGAGAACUUAAGCGCCGGUAAACGGCGGUGGUAACUAUAACCAUCCUAAGGUAGCGAAAUUCCUUGUCGGGUAAGUUCCGACCUGCACGAAUGGCGUAACGACUUCCCCGCUGUCUCAACCACAGACCCGGCGAAAUUGCACUACGAGUAAAGAUGCUCGUUUCGCGCAGCGGGACGGAAAGACCCCGGGACCUUCACUACAGCUUGACAUUGGCGUUUGGAACGUCUUGUGUAGGAUAGGUGGGAGACUAGGAAGCUGUCACGCUAGUGAUGGUGGAGUCAUUGGUGAAAUACCACUCUGGUCGUUUUGAACGUCUAACUCUGGUCCGUGAUCCGGAUCGGGGACAGUGUCUGGUGGGUAGUUUAACUGGGGCGGUUGCCUCCUAAAGAGUAACGGAGGCGCCCAAAGGUUCCCUCAGCCUGGUUGGCAAUCAGGUGUUGAGUGUAAGUGCACAAGGGAGCUUGACUGUGAGACUGACAGGUCGAGCAGGAGCGAAAGCUGGGACUAGUGAUCCGGCAUCGGCGUGUGGAAGCGGUGUCGCUCAACGGCUAAAAGGUACCCCGGGGAUAACAGGCUGAUCUUCCCCAAGAGUCCAUAUCGACGGGAUGGUUUGGCACCUCGAUGUCGGCUCGUCGCAUCCUGGGGCUGGAGUAGGUCCCAAGGGUUGGGCUGUUCGCCCAUUAAAGCGGUACGCGAGCUGGGUUUAGAACGUCGCGAGACAGUUCGGUCCCUAUCCGCUGCGCGCGCAGGAGACUUGAAGGGGGCUGUCCCUAGUACGAGAGGACCGGGACGGACGAACCUCUGGUGUGCCAGUUGUACCGCCAGGUGCACGGCUGGUUGGCUACGUUCGGAAGGGAUAACCGCUGAAAGCAUCUAAGCGGGAAGCUCGCCUUGAGAUGAGGUCUCCCACCCCGUGAGGGGGUAAGGCUCCCGGUAGAUCACCGGGUUGAUAGGCCGGAGGUGGAAGCACGGUAACGUGUGGAGCUGACCGGUACUAAUAGGCCGAGGACUUGACC